GAUGAACGCUGGCGGCGUGCCUAAUACAUGCAAGUCGAGCGAACAGACGAGGAGCUUGCUCCUCUGACGUUAGCGGCGGACGGGUGAGUAACACGUGGAUAACCUACCUAUAAGACUGGGAUAACUUCGGGAAACCGGAGCUAAUACCGGAUAAUAUAUUGAACCGCAUGGUUCAAUAGUGAAAGACGGUUUUGCUGUCACUUAUCGAUGGAUCCGCGCCGCAUUAGCUAGUUGGUACGGUAACGGCUUACCAAGGCAACGAUGCGUAGCCGACCUGAGAGGGGGAUCGGCCACACUGGAACUGAGACACGGUCCAGACUCCUACGGGAGGCAGCAGUAGGGAAUCUUCCGCAAUGGGCGAAAGCCUGACGGAGCAACGCCGCGUGAGUGGUGAAGGUCUUCGGAUCGUAAAACUCUGUUAUUAGGGAAGAACAAAUGUGUAAGUAACUAUGCACGUCUUGACGGUACCUAGUCAGAAAGCCACGGCUAACUACGUG
rnacentral:rRNA from 1 species